AUCACUUGUUCUUUAAAUGGGGACUUGUAUCAACGGCACCACGAGGGUUAGACUGUCUCCUUUUUCAAAUCAGUGAAAUUAAUCUCCCCGUGAAGAAGCGGGGAUACUCAUAUAAGACGAGAAGACCCCAUGGAGCUUCAAACCCAACUACACCCCUAGCUCUUAUAGCCCCACAACCCCCCUAGGCACCGUGUGCUUGGUUUUAGGUUGGGGCGACCGCGGAGUACAAUAAAACCUCCACAAUGAAUGGGAACACCCCCUUAUCUGAGGGCCACACCCCCUAAGAAUUAGAACACUAACAUAAAAUGAUCCAUUAUUUGAUCAAUGAACCAAGUUACCCUGGGGAUAACAGCGCAAUCCAUUUCAAGA
rnacentral:rRNA from 1 species